rnacentral:rRNA from 1 species
UACGAAGGGUGCAAGCGUUAAUCGGAAUUACUGGGCGUAAAGCGUGCGUAGGCGGUUUCUUAAGUCUGCUGUGAAAGCCCCGGGCUCAACCUGGGAAUGGCGGUGGAUACUGAGAAGCUGGAGUACGGUAGAGGAAGGUGGAAUUCCCGGUGUAGCGGUGAAAUGCGUAGAGAUCGGGAGGAACAUCAGUGGCGAAGGCGACACGCUGGGCCAUACCUGACGCUAAAGCGCGACAGCAUGGGGAGCAAACGGG